rnacentral:lncRNA from 1 species
UAUAAAUGCUGUCAUGCUACCUUUGUCUAUUUACUAGCAAGUGUUGGUUUGGAAGUACUCGCCAUACUUCCAUUGGCAUUUAUAUUAAGCAUGGUGCUUAGGUUAAAUAGCCUUCCUUAAUCUGAUUAGACAUGGAGUCUAGUUUGGUUACUGAACUAAAAACUGCUUGAGUAGAUAUUGGUAUAUUUUGUCGGACUAACCCCUGUAGGAAAACUUUCAAUAUCAACCUGGGAUGUCCUGAGAUAAACUCACAUCGGAGAUGAAGUGAGAGACACAUCAAGUUUAACGAUUUACACAAGGAAGACGUAGCUCAUAAGAGAUGACCCAUGGAGGGUGCCACAAACAUGAUGCACAACUGCUAAGAAAGGAAAGCUUCCACAAGGUGAUACUGUACCAUCACUCUUCAAGUAAGGUAACAUCUUAAGGUACUUGACUAUCACUUUUAUAAGCUUUUCCUUGGUUCUAGUGUUCACAUAAAUAAAGAGACAAACAUGUAUGAUUUAUAACUCCAAUUUAACCAACCCAACUGAUUCAGCAUGUUUAGUCCUUUAAUCUUUGUUCCUUGUACUACCUCCAUGAUCCCACACUCCUAAUCAUAUGAGCUAAAAUGUUGCACAUUCAAUCUUUGGGAAGAUAUGAAGACAAAGACAUAUACAUAGAUAGAUUAUCUUUCCAUAAGGUUGAGCGACCUAAUCUGACAAAUGUUUUAAAUGCUACACUCAUGAUCUUAUUAUCCAUCAAAUUUGUCUUGCUCACUAUGCUUAAGGUUUGAGAAGAACAAAUACACUUUUGGUUCUGUUGGUGUUUUCCACUAACAGGGCCCAUGCACUUGAUCUCUGCCUUGUCUCUAUGAGCAGGUACACUUCAAGCAAAACAUGGAGGAGUUUUAUAACUCUCAGACUCUACCAAGUGAAGGACCUAGAUCUACGAGCACAAACACACUGAGCAAGAUACUGCCAACGCCGCACUUCGAACUACUGGGCAAAUGAAGAACAUGGGUGACACCGUAUCAAGAGGUGCAGACGUCAAGGUCCACAUCUGAAUCCAAUGACGCACCUAAAGAAUGAACACAGUGAGAAGUCUUGUUCAGAAGACUUAAAACAUUGAACCCUCGCCGAAAGGUAAAAUCGGUAGUUAUCCAUAUUUAUCCUUUUUGUAUUCCCUUUUCCCUUUAAUUACUUACUUUCCUUAAAUAGCUUAUUAGUUAAUCAUGCUCACCUAAAAAUAUUCUACUCCUAUCCAGGAGAGAGAAUAGCCAAAAAUAUUAUCCUAUCCCUAUUACUUCCCGUGAAAUAAAUGCUCUCGAUAUUUUGGUUACUACCACUUGCUACAUUAUUCUAGGAGGGUGAGUGCUCUGAAAAAAAAAGAAAAAAAAUAUGAGGAAAUAAAAAGGGGCAAGUGCCCGGAACCUCGAAGAAAAAAAAGUGAGCCGAGAGGUAAAAAUGGACAAGUGUCCAACAGUAGAAUUAGGGGUACAAGAUACCCACCUGAGAGAGAAGAAAAAGAAACAUAUAGAGCAUCUCAUUCUCCUCAAAAGCUUCAAAGUGCAAGAAAGGUAUGUAUCCCCUUAAAAGAGCAAAAGUAGAAUUAGACUUUCACCAUUAUUAUCAUCAUCAUCACCAUACACCAUUCAUUCGCCACACAUGCACAUCUUGAUUUGACUUAUUGACUUGUUUCUCUGGAUCCAUGGUUUGACUAUGCAAUAAAUAUCUUGUAAGUAUGUAUUAUCUUCUCCCACCUAUGAGCUCCAGAUAUGAAAACCUUGUUAGAGUAGGGUGAGAGAGAAGGCAAUAUCAUUAUGCCUCAUACCACAAAUACCACAUACUUUGAGAGAAGGCAUAUACCAUCACUGCCUUGGUAAGGAUCCAGAAAUACCACAAAAGAGAGAAUUGAGAGAGUCAUACAAGGAAUCUCUGAGUUUUAUUUGAAAAUCUGCAAAAACUCCAGAGCUAUAGUUGAUCAAAGAACAAGAGACAUGGUGCUUGACUUGACCGUUCUAUCUCUUUAACUGCUCAAGACACAAGUGACGGUUGCAAGCCCCAUGGUGGAAGGUAAUAUGAGUAAGUUUAAAUCUUAACAGUUUACCUUAACCUAGAGAUGAGAUCUUGUUUGAACGCAUGUGUACCUUUAAGUCAUAAAACCACUGCAGAAACUCUUGAGUCCAUCCUUGCUCAGGGACGAGCAAGAGGUAAGCUUGGGGGAGUUGUUGACGGUCCUUAAGUACCAAAUAUAAUCAGCAAAUAAACAAAGAAAAUGAUCCAAAUGCAACCAACACCCAGACUUAGGGUUUUAUCUGACAGAAUUCCACGAGUUUUGGUGUUUGUCUAUUUCUGCAGGGGGUUAUCAGGAAAUAUGGAGGAAAGGCCCACACGUCGGGUUUACAUAGAGAUAUUAAUGUGCCACGCAAUUUUCUACCAUCUAGAAGACUCCUGAAGCCACGGGAACAAAGCGGAAGCCGAGAGGGCUCAGGGACAGGGUGCCCGCCCAAGUCCUUAGGGCGCCCGCCCACCUAUUUCGGCCAAUCACGUUCAACUUCGCGGAUUAUGCUCCACCGACCUAAUGGAUCAAGAAUAACCAUUCAAUCAAUGUCGGUUUGAUCCGACGGCCCAGGUUCACUUGAGGGGACUAUAUAAGCAGACCCCCUGGCCCCUGGAGGAGGCACCCCUUGAUCAUUAUUCAUUAUUCAUAGACAGAGCAAAAGCUAGGGUUUGGAGAUGAGAGCUCUCCUCUCUUCUCUAAACUAGAGUAGAUCUAGAUAGUAGCAAGAUGGAGAGCGAGGGAGGAUUGGAGGAGACGUCGGCCUGUCGGUUCUUCUUCCGGUUGUACUUCGUCAUGAUUAAGCUCUAAUCAAGCUUGCUCAUGGGAUGACUCUGGUAAUCUACUUCUAAUUCAUUAUGCAAUUACUAAUCAUGUAUGUUCUGGCUCACAACUCUUUUGAGUACUUUAAUCUAUAGGACGCUAUAGGUGAGAGUUGUAGUAUAGUGUAAGCGUGGUGCUUAGACCUAGAUUACUUGUGGAUAUCCCCUGUCUAGCUGGAUCGUGUGGUAGGCCGCGUAGGUGACAGUUACGUUGGUCCCGUGUAGUCCACCUCUUGUUAGUAGGACGGGUAGGAUUUAUCGGCCUAUGGAUAAGCAUCCUUUGUGGUGUUUUCUUAUCACGUGGUUC